AACAGCUCAAAUUUUAAAGCUGGCGUCUUCGACGUCCGCAUUGUAAUUUGGAGAGGCAUCUUCGGAUUGGGCGCCAGCCUAUGUUCCUUGGAACAGGACGUCACAGAGGGUGAGAAUCCCGUGCUUGGCUGGCUGUCCCAUUUCAUGUGAAGUGUCUUCGACGAGUCGAGUUGUUUGGGAAUGCAGCUCAAAAUGGGUGGUAAAUUUCAUCUAAAGCUAAAUAUUGGUGGGAGACCGAUAGCGCACAAGUAGAGUGAUCGAAAGAUGAAAAGCACUUUGAAAAUAGAGUUAAAAAGUACGUGAAAUUGUUGAAAGGGAAGCGCUUGAGACCAGACUCGGCUGGUGAUGAUCAGCUGUCCUUUUGGGCAGUGCACUUGUCGCCGGUUGGGCCAGCAUCGGUUGAGACGGCGGGAUAAAGGUUUUGGGAAUGUGGCUCCUCUCGGGGAGUGUUAUAGCCCAGAAUGCAAUGCCGCCAGCCUCGACCGAGGACCG
rnacentral:rRNA from 1 species